CCCCUUUGUCUACAUGACUGACUCAUGGUUCUGGACUCACAGCCAAAUGCUGUUUCUCCAUAUCCUGUUAUUUAGCAGUAGACUGAACUAAACUGUGAGAGACGAACAGGACAAAUGGUUGUGGUUCCUUUGAGAAACAGUGUUGAGACAUUGAGCACUGAGAAAUGGUGUGACAUUUCUCAACAAGACCUCACCACAAAAGUCACAAUAUGGAAAGAUGAACAUCUCUCUGCAGAGGAGAUUAUAUAUAAUUUAAUAUAUUUGUUUUCAUCUGUUUUUGUUUUCUCAAUCGUUCAGUUCCAUAGGUCAGAGGUCAAGCUGAGCUGAGCCAAUAGUGGAAGAGUGGAAAAGGUUACUGGUUAUGAUGACAUCACUACUGGUUAUGAUGACAUCACUGGAACUCCGCUGUGUGGAAACAUGCAGAAUGGAUCAGAGAAUAGUGUGAGCUGUGGUAACGCUAGACGGCCCUGGUGCUGUCAACGUCAGCUAUCUUCAUCUGCACAGACAAGUUAGUCACCUUUUACACACUAUGUUCCUCACCCUCUCUCUCCCUCCUCCCCUGUCUCCUUCUACCAACCCAGUCUGUCAAUAAGUCCUAUCUCGGUCUCUCAUCUCUCUCCCUCCUGUCCUGUCUCCCCCAGUUGCUCUUUUCCUCCCUUCUCCCUCCUCUUCGACAGGCCUGAUGCUGUAUGUCAGGGUUGGGGUCAGGUCAGUUUACAGCUGUGUCUGUAAACAACGACUCUAUAUGGAAGUAAAUGACUACAAACUACAUUCAAGUCUUGAGUUUAUUCAAGUAGAAUAAGAAAAGGACAAAACAAAAUCAAGGUGUAUCUGUUAGAAAUCAUCAAUGACUUCACAUCAACUCACAAGUAUCACAGUAGGAUAGAAA